rnacentral:rRNA from 1 species
GAUGAACGCUGGCGGCGUGCUUAAGACAUGCAAGUCGAACGGAGUGUGUAGCAAUACUCACUAAGUGGCGAAUGGGUGAGUAACACGGUAGGUGACCUGCCCUGAAGUGCGGAAUAACAGUCCGAAAGGAUUGACUAAUACCGCAUCGUGGUCCCCGGGCGUUAGAGAACCGGUCUAAAGCAGUAAUGCGCUUCAGGAGGGCCUGCGGUCCAUCAGCUA